CCGCCAUCCCGCUGGCGAGAGCGAGAGAGAGGCCCGCCUGCUCGCCGGCCAGGCCAGUGUGGGCGAGUGCGUGAAGGCGCGGGGGACCGUGUCAGCGAGACGCAGAGCGCAGCCACCACCCCCAAACGGACAUGUUGGAGCCCAGCGCCGCCGCCGCCUCCUUUUCCUCGCCCAGCGAACGGGACUGAGAAGGAGCCCGCCACCCCUCCGCCUCUGCCUCUGCUCGGCCGCCCGCCUCGCCGUCUCGGCCUCAGCCGCUUCCUGCCCGGCCUCGGGCUCCGCCACUCGUCGUCUUCCCCGUCGGUUCCCGGCCCCGCUCCGCCGCGGCGCGAGGUCUAUGUGACCGGCGGGCCGGGAGCAGCCACCGCCGCAACGCGAACAUGGACGCCGUCAACGCCUUCAACCAGGAGACAUGGUCUUAUAAAGUUACCCAGGCUGGCCUCAAACUUUUGAUUCUCCUGCCUCAGCCUCCUGAGUAGCUGGGAUUACAGCUCUUUUCACUUAUGGAUAUGAAACCUCCCAUCUCUAGAGCCAAGAUGAUUCUCAUCACUAAAGCUGCUAUUAAAGCUAUUAAGGUAAGUGUAAAAUAAAUACAUUUAAUUUAGAAAUGUUCUUGAAAUUUUGAAAAUGUUAUUUAAUGAGAUUUCAUUUUGUGAGUUUCAGGCCUGAAUCAAAGCAUUAGAACACUACUCAGCUUUUGCUUAAGGUUUACUACAGUGCAUUUAUUUGCAUUGUAAUGUAUUGUUUCAAAAAGUUUCUUUAUUUUAUUUAAUCCUAGUUAUAAACCAACAAUUAGCUUCCCUCUUAUUAAAAAACUUUUUAAAAGCCCUCAGUCUGCAUGAAAUUAAAUGUCCUAUCUGGGAUUAAACUUAAUUUUAUAAACUGCAUUGCUUAGUUCUUACUCCAUUGUUCUUAAACUUUUUGUUAAGGUUGCCUGAUACCCUGCUUUAUCAAGUUUUAUUGAUUAAACAUUGAUGAAAAAGACCUUCAUGGGGGAGAGAGGGUUGUUUCGAUUUUUUUUUUUUUUCUGAUAUGUUAUUUAAGG
rnacentral:lncRNA from 1 species